rnacentral:tRNA from 1 species
GGCGGGGUAGCUCAGUUGGUAGAGCAGAGGACUGAAAAUCCUUGUGUCGCCGGUCCGAUUCCGGCCCUUGCCACCA